GGCGGAGUAGCUCAGGUGGUUAGAGCAGCGGAAUCAUAAUCCGCGUGUCGGGGGUUCGAGUCCCUCCUCCGCUAACA
rnacentral:tRNA from 1 species